UACGGAGGGGGCUAGCGUUGUUCGGAAUUACUGGGCGUAAAGCGCGCGUAGGCGGCUUUGUAAGUUAGAGGUGAAAGCCCGGAGCUCAACUUCGGAAUUGCCUUUAAGACUGCAUCGCUUGAAUCAUGGAGAGGUCAGUGGAAUUCCGAGUGUAGAGGUGAAAUUCGUAGAUAUUCGGAAGAACACCAGUGGCGAAGGCGGCUCACUGGACGACUGUUGACGCUGAGGUACGAAAGCGUGGGGAGCAAACAGG
rnacentral:rRNA from 1 species